rnacentral:siRNA from 1 species
GCCCUUAUAGCUCAGUGGU